rnacentral:pre_miRNA from 1 species
UUAAUGCUAAUCGUGAUAGGGGUUUUUAUUUUUAACUGACUCCUACAUAUUAGCAUUAGCA